GCAUAUCAAUAAGCGGAGGAAAAGAAACCAACAGGGAUUGCCUCAGUAACGGCGAGUGAAGCGGCAACAGCUCAAAUUUGAAAUCUGGCCGCAAGGUCCGAGUUGUAAUUUGUAGAGGAUGCUUUUGGCGAGGUGACUUCCGAGUUCCCUGGAACGGGACGCCAUAGAGGGUGAGAGCCCCGUACGGUCGUGCCACCGAGCCUCUGUAAAGCUCCUUCGACGAGUCGAGUAGUUUGGGAAUGCUGCUCUAAAUGGGAGGUGUACGUCUUCUAAAGCUAAAUACCGGCCAGAGACCGAUAGCGCACAAGUAGAGUGAUCGAAAGAUGAAAAGCACUUUGAAAAGAGGGUUAAAAAGUACGUGAAAUUGUUGAAAGGGAAGCAUUCAUGACCAGACUUGGGCUUGGUUGAACAUCCGGCGUUCUCGCCGGUGCACUCUGCCAGCUCAGGCCAGCAUCAGUUUGCCCCGGGGGACAAAGGCGGCGGGAAUGUGGCUCCCUACGGGGAGUGUUAUAGCCCGUCGUGUAAUGCCCUGGGGUGGACUGAGGUUCGCGCUUCGGCACGG
rnacentral:sRNA from 1 species